AUUGAACGCUGGCGGCCGGCCUAACACAUGCCAGUCGAAUGAGUGGCGGACGGGUGAUUAUUGUCUGGGAAACUGCCUGAUGGAGGGGGAUAACUACUGGAAACGGUCGCUUAUACCGAAUACCAUAGGAUGUGCCCAGCUGGGCUUAGCUAGUAGGUGGGGUAAUGGCUCACUUAGGCGACGCUCCCUAGCUGGUCUGAGAGGAUGACCGACCACCCUGGAACUGAAGCACAAUCCAUACUCCUGCGGAGGGCAGCAGUCGGGAAUAUUGCACAAUGGGCGCAAGCCUGAUGCAGCCGUGCCGCGUGUAGGAAGAAGGCCUUAGGGUUAUAAAGUUCUUGCAGCGGUGGGGCGUUGCCCGCAGAAGAAGCACCGGCUAACUCCGUGCCAGCAGCCGCGGUAAUAC
rnacentral:rRNA from 1 species